GGGCCACAAAUCUAGCCAAGGCUGGUGGAGAAAUGGGCCGAAGUAAUAUGGUCAGUGCUUAUGGACUAAAGCCAUUUUGGGUAGCAGUUUAAUGAAACGCUGCGUUUCAAGCAGCGCUAAAGGCAAAGCUGAAAUGGGUCUCUCAGUUUACAUCACAUUGUGCAUAGAUAGGAUCAUUUGAGUUUCCCCCAAUUCUUCACGAGCUAGGGUUCCAACAAAAGAGAAGAACAACAAACCAGAAGCGGGUUCCAUGGUUGAUUUCAGAAGCUGAU
rnacentral:lncRNA from 1 species